rnacentral:rRNA from 1 species
GAUGAACGCUAGCGGCAGGCUUAAUACAUGCAAGUCGUGGGGCAGCAUGAGUGUAGCAAUACAUUUGAUGGCGACCGGCAAACGGGUGCGGAACACGUACACAACCUUCCUAUAAGUGGGGAAUAGCCCAGAGAAAUUUGGAUUAAUACCCCGUAAUAUAAUGAUGUGGCAUCACAUUAUUAUUAUAGCUUCGGCGCUUAUUGAUGGGUGUGCGGCUGAUUAGAUAGUUGGCGGGGUAACGGCCCACCAAGUCUACGAUCAGUAGCUGAUGUGAGAGCAUGAUCAGCCACACGGGCACUGAGACACGGGCCCGACUCCUACGGGAGGCAGCAGUAAGGAAUAUUGGUCAAUGGACGCAAGUCUGAACCAGCCAUGCCGCGUGAAGGAUUAAGGUCCUCUGGAUUGUAAACUUCUUUUAUCUGGGACGAAAAAAGGCGAUUCUUCGUCACUUGACGGUACCAGAUGAAUAAGCACCGGCUAACUCCGUGCCAGCCGCCGCGGUAAGAC